CUACCAUGCAGUCGACGGAAGGCCCUGCUUUUGUGGGGUGCUCGAGUGGCGAACGGGUGAGUAACACGUGAGUAACCUGCCCUUGACUUUGGGAUAACUUCAGGAAACUGGGGCUAAUACCGGAUAGGAGCUCCUGCUGCAUGGUGGGGGUUGGAAAGUUUCGGCGGUUGGGGAUGGACUCGCGGCUUAUCAGCUUGUUGGUGGGGUAGUGGCUUACCAAGGCUUUGACGGGUAGCCGGCCUGAGAGGGUGACCGGCCACAUUGGGACUGAGAUACGGCCCACACUCCUACGGGAGGCAGCAGUGGGGAAUAUUGCACAAUGGGCGGAAGCCUGAUGCAGCAACGCCGCGUGCGGGAUGACGGCCUUCGGGUUGUAAACCGCUUUCGCCUGUGACGAAGCGUGAGUGACGGUUAUGGGUAAAGAAGCACCGGCAAACUACGUGCCAGC
rnacentral:rRNA from 1 species